rnacentral:misc_RNA from 1 species
CGGAAACCUAUUCCUCUCCAGCCGCUCCCGUGAGGAAGAAGAAUCCCAAUGGCGGAAGAGAAGCAGCAGCCGGCGGCGGCGGUAUCGUUGCCCCGGAAGUACGAUCUGGACGCCAAAUGGGACGCCUGCCUCGACAUCACCAUCCGCCGAUUUGUCUACUCCUCCGUCGCCGGCGCUUUCGGCGGCCUCCUCCUCUUCCGGAGUCCAGCGACCCGAUGGGCAUCUGUAGCUUUUGGUGCUGGCAUAGGGAUUGGAACAGCGUAUACUGAAUGCUCUCACAUAUUUAAUGGUUCUCAUCCGAAGUUGCCACCCUCAAAAGUCUCGGAGCCUCCUGCUUCCUCUCUGGAGGGACAGAACUGAUAAGAUAUCAACCUGGAUUUCGGCAAUCUCGUUCAGUUUGCG